AGCGGUGGAGUAAGAAAUUACGCUGUGCGACAUUUAUGUGUUUUGCGGUGGUACGGCGACACCGGAUGGUGAAUUCGGCACAAAAUCCAUCAUCAGCAUGUAUUCCGCAUUGGGUUCCAGCCCGCAGAGACGCACCUGGAACGUGGGGAACAUCCUUCUGCCAGCUUUCGUCACUAUCAUCUCGGUGCCAAGUGUGUGGAACUCAUCCCAAAGUGGUUUCAUUUCCAACAGAGCAUUCGUCGAGUUUAAAGCUGCGCAAUUUGUCACAUUCGCUGAUUUCUGUUUAGGCGCGCGGUUGUUGUUAUCUAGUUCUUCGAUCACCAUCGAGUCGGCGUGUGAUAAGGGCGUAAUCCCGUUGUACUGCCACGCAUCCGAAGGAUAACAACAAUCCGUCGAAGGAGUCAUCUGUCCGUUACCCCCCAUAUCAGCCCCCACUUGAUGAAAAUCCGAAUUUAAUUCGUCGCGAGGUCAAGAACCUUGAAUACGCCUGCUGUGGUUUGGUUGCUGCGAUCUCGUCCUGUUUACAACAAAAAGCAUUAAGUAUGCAGGCGCGUCUGGAUGCAAUCGGGAAUAAAAUAUUUGAGAGCGAAAAGUAAAAGUCAGGCGCUGCGUGCUGGUGCAGGGAGUUAAUGAAAAGUUGAUGGCGCGCCGCCGCCGACGACGGCCGCCGUCGACACCUAUGGCGUUUAAGUGGCCCCAAGAGGUGAGAAUAACAUCCAUGAACGCGUACAGCCAGCUUUUAAUAUCGAAAUAUGCAGGGAAAUAAAUAUUUUGAGCUAAAUUUAUUGAGAAAUGAAUUAUGGAAGUUUUUAUUUUGUUAUU